UACGGAGGGGGUUAGCGUUGUUCGGAAUUACUGGGCGUAAAGCGCGCGUAGGCGGAUUAGAAAGUUGGGGGUGAAAUCCCGGGGCUCAACCCCGGAACUGCCUCCAAAACUACUAGUCUAGAGUUCGAGAGAGGUGAGUGGAAUUCCGAGUGUAGAGGUGAAAUUCGUAGAUAUUCGGAGGAACACCAGUGGCGAAGGCGCCUCACUGGCUCGAUACUGACGCUGAGGCGCGAAAGUGUGGGGAGCAAACAGG
rnacentral:rRNA from 1 species